GACAGAGGGUGCAACCGUUGUUCGGAAUUACUGGGCGUAAAGCGUGUGUAGGCGGCUACGUAAGUCGGAUGUGAAAGCCCCGGGCUCAACCCGGGAAGUGCACUCGAUACUGCGUAGCUUGAGUCUCGGAGAGGUUGGUGGAAUUCUCGGUGUAGAGGUGAAAUUCGUAGAUAUCGAGAGGAACACCGGUGGCGAAGGCGGCCAACUGGACGAAGACUGACGCUGAGACACGAAAGCGUGGGGAGCAAACAGG
rnacentral:rRNA from 1 species